rnacentral:tRNA from 1 species
GCCGACGUGGUGAAAUUGGUAGACACGCCAUCUUGAGGGGGUGGUGAGCCUAGCUCGUGCCGGUUCGAGUCCGGCCGUCGGCA